GACGAACGCUGGCGGCGUGCCUAAUACAUGCAAGUAGAACGCUGAGGAGAGGAGCUUGCUCUUCUUGGAUGAGUUGCGAACGGGUGAGUAACGCGUAGGUAACCUGCCUUGUAGCGGGGGAUAACUAUUGGAAACGAUAGCUAAUACCGCAUAACAAUGGAUGACACAUGUCAUUUAUUUGAAAGGGGCAAUUGCUCCACUACAAGAUGGACCUGCGUUGUAUUAGCUAGUAGGUGAGGUAAUGGCUCACCUAGGCGACGAUACAUAGCCGACCUGAGAGGGUGGUCGGCCACACUGGGACGGAGACACGGCCCAGACUCCUACGGGAGGCAGCAGGAGGGAAUCUUGGGCAAUGGGGGCAACCCUGACCGCGCAAGGCCGCGUGAGUGAAGAAGGUUUUCGGAUCGGAAAGCUCUGUUGUAAGUCAAGAACGGGUGUGAGAGUGGAAAGUUCACACUGUGACGGUAGCUGACCAGAAAGGGACGGCUAACUACAUG
rnacentral:rRNA from 1 species